CUACUACUAUGAAUUUAAUAACCGACCUCUACAUUUGCAAAAAUUGCAAUUAAAUGUUUUUGCUAAUACGAUUUACUGUCGUUAUAAUAGAAUGGGUAUCAAGUAUGUUUACAUUGAAAAUAAUGAUCAAUUUCUUCAUAAAAACGAUAAAGGAGAAGAAGAUAACUUCAGGUACUUUAAUAAAAUGCAAUGCCUACGGCUAAAGCCUAAGGAAGAAUUACCCGGUUCCGUAGGAGAUAAGCAUUAAAUCCGCUAUAAUUCAACAGAAGAUAUGUCAAAAUAAAAUUAUCAUUUUGACCAACGAACUGAUUUAAAAGCUAAAAAGUUGCUCAUUUCAGUCUUAUGCAAUGCAGCGGUUUAAUUUACAAAAUGAUUUCUAUAAAAAAUCGCUGUUUCAAGAUUAAAAUGUUCUACGUGCAAUAAUAUUAUACCAUCAACCUCUAAAUAAGAGAGACAUUAGCAUAUUAAAAAAAAAGAUAGGCAAAAGGAAGCAAAAACUUUAACUGCUCAAGCUAACUGUAUCGCAUUAAAAUGAAAUUUUUCUCCGUUUUUUAUUAGAAGUUUUGGUAACCGUGUUUUCGGUGUUUAGCUUGUGUUUAGACGAUGAAGUUGAUUUCCUCUUGUAUUGCAAAAUAUAGGCCUGUUGAUUCAAAACUCGAUCAAUACUGGAAUUGGAAACGAAAUCAUCGUCAAAUUUAAGCCAAACACCAUUACUACUUUUGCAAAACGAAUAAUAAUGGCCGCUUCGGGUACUUCCGCCUGCAUGUACAAGAACCCCAAUUAAUUCGUACCAACAAGAACAAUUGGGAUCUGACAUAUACGGACCGAGAUUGAAUGAUUCAGGGUAUGAAAUUUGCUUACUGAUUUUGCUAGAUUGGAAACCGUUGAAUGUGAACCGCUUGAAGUGAAUGGUUAAAAUAUUUGGUGCCCGAUAAAUAGUCAUUUGCUUGGACGCAUCCACCAGUUGCUUACAAUUUUCACAUCGAUAUUUGUUUUGUUUGGUAAGUUUUUCUGCAUGCACAAAAUGCUUUAAGGAAUCUGCCAAGGAGGAGCCCUUCGCAUCCACAGAUAAGUCAAGUAAAGCUUGGUAGGUGUUGGAAGGUUUUUUACAAACUGAGCAUAGAAUCUGCUGGCGUAGGUAACCACCAAAAAUUCUGUGUACUACCGAAGUCUCCCUGCUUGGAUGAUCAAGAUUUUUAUGGUUUUGAAGACAAGACUUUUGCCAAGCAUCAACCAAAUAUCGCAUAAAUUCAUGAGCAUCUUCUUGGCGAUAUGGGCGGAAAUGACUGGAAAUUACUUUGAGCAUACUUUGUAUACCUGAAGGUUUGAAGGCCGAAGCUCGUUUGGUGCCUUUGUUGGGAUAGGCACGGGCGACAUGUUGCUCCAUUCUACAGAGUACACAUGCAUUCAUACGGCAGGAUAAAGAAUGUUGACCGGAUAAAAGAUAUUGAACCAACGGUGGAGUUUGAGUCAUCAACUGAAGUACUGAAUUCAUGAAACAAGUAUUACCGAGAUUUACGAGCCCCGGAGCAUUGGGCAUGAUAUUAUCCCAUUCCAUCGACAAUUUUUCUUCGGGAAAUAGAAUGCGAGCCGGAGGUAUAAAAGCAGGAUCCUCAUCCACAAAAUCAUUAGCUCCAUCACCCCUUGUUCCUGAAGAUUUUUUGUAUUCCUGGGAAGAAGAACCAGAACGUUUGUUUCUAGUUGGGGAAGUAGGCGCUGAAAAUGACUUACGGCUAACAGUAGAUUGCUUUGGAUUGUUUAAGACAGUGUAAGUACCUUCAGGAACCGAUGGUGAGGAAACAACCGCGGGACGAAAGCGAACGGGAUUUUUAAGCAAAUCAUCUAGUGAAUGCUUGACUGCAAAAUCUAGUGACUGUCCUUGUAAAGUAGCAAGCGACAUGUCAACAACGGAAUGGAAAAACAACAAGCAAUCAAAAAUUUGAAAUUAUGAAGAAAAAUGUUAGAAAAGAAGAAAAAAAAAAGCUAUCUUUUAAAGCAAGAAACGUAGAAAAGAAGAGUGAUGCUUUUCACAAUUAUCUUCAAGAGCUAUUGUGAACGGAGUAAGCAGUUUGAUGUAAACAAUCAACAAAAACGAAUGUAAACAAACUUAUUCGUGAGUUGUCGAAAAUAAAAACACCAAAAAUAAAAUAAAGCAAAAAAAAAGCGUUCAAUGAGAAAAUUUAAACUCACAAAUUAUUUUGAAAUGACCAGCCACUAUAGGUGUAGUAAAUGAAUUUAGAAAAAAAUAAUGCAAAGGUGGUAAAGCAGACGAAACCGUAGAUAAAGUGAUUAAAAUUACUU